CUCGACUGCGUGAAGGUGGAGUCGCUAGUAAUCGCGGAUCAGCAACGCCGCGGUGAAUGCGUUCCCGGGCCUUGUACACACCGCCCGUCAAGUCAUGAAAGUGGGCAGCACCCGAAGACGGUGGCCUAACCCUUGUGGGGGAGCCGUCUAAGGUGAGGCUCGUGAUUGGGACUAAGUCGUAACAAGGUACC
rnacentral:rRNA from 1 species